CCUCGCUGCGUCGGCCCUCCUCACUCCCCCUCCCCCACCGCGCACCCCUCCUCCCUCCCCUGCUCGGUCCCCUGCGCGGAGCGGCAACGGGGCCGGCGCGGGGCCUGCCGGAGCGGCGGCAGGGCCGAUGCGGGCGUGGGGCGGCGGUGGGGCCUCGCUUCCUCCUUCCCUCCUCCUUCUCCUCUCUCUCUCUCUCUCUCUCUCUCUCACGACAGCGGCGGGCGCUCGGUGUCGUCUGCCGGCCCCGCAUGCGGCCACCACGCCGGAUCCACGCGGGUGGUGGGAGUGCGCGGCGGGGCGGCCCGGAGGCGGAGGCGGCGAGGCCAAGCGGGCGCGGCCGCGGCGGCGCGGAGGUGGAGGCGGAGGCGCGGCGCGCGGCGGGGCGAAUGCGCAGCGUGCGGCGGCCAGGCUGCCGCGGCGCACCGUCCACAAGAAAGCGCGCAUCGUGCCGAGAUGCGUCAGCCGGGGAUGACGGCGGCACGGUUCGCCGUGACCUCAUCUGUGUGACUGGAGGCAGCGGCUUCAUCAGCUCAUGGCCUGUCUGCUUCCUCCUCGACCGCGGCUACACCGUCCACACCACCGUCAAUAACCUCGGUGACAUGCCCCCUCUCUUCUCCAGGCGCCAGAUGCAAUGGUACGAGAUUAUCUCUUGUUCUUGACGGAUUUUCUCCCGCUCGCCGAUCGCGCCCUCCGGCCUCCCGUCGACGUACGGCCGUGUGCUUGCCUGCUCCAAGCUGGAGCCUGAACUGCGGUGGCCUAGGUUCCCUGCCGGUUGCGCCCGACGCCGGCCGUGUGCGCCGGUUCCGUGACGAGGGACCGCCCGCGUAGGUCGUCAGUGCGCGCCAUCUUCACGCUCUCCGAGGAAAGCUUUCGGGUGAUCCGAACUGCGGCGGACGGUUGCGCGACGUCAAUUACUACUUCACCGUCCUCGGCAUCGGGGAGGUUUGCAAGGCCAUCAUCUGCAUGGAGAUCGUUGUGUUGUGUCCAAGUGAAUCUGGAGUUGCUGGUCAACUGUUCGAUGAAUUGUCCAUGUAGGGAACCUUCUAGGUUCCUGCUGUCAUCCCUGUUAUUUCGCUUGCCGAUCGUGCAGGUUGGAGGUUACAGGACUGCAGAGUAGCUUAAUUGACAUGGGCUGACGAUCGGAAUCAGUCGCCAGGAUUGUUUGGCGGAGGUAUGAUCUAAAACUCCGACGUCCAGGGCAGCGGCGCCGCCUGCUGUCUCCCUGCGCCGAGCCGCCGCUUGUCUUCCUGUGCCCGGGUGCUCCAGCCACCGAGGAACAAGAUUGCCAAACCAAACCCCACCCCUACCCCUGUCCGGGUUCGGCCAGCACCGCCUCAAUUGCUCCAAGCGACGUCCACUCCAUGGUGACGCCACUCUUCAAGCAGUGCAAGAAGAAGAUACCCAUAAUCAAUUUAAUGCUCGUGAGAGUGAUUGGGGUUUCACAUCUUUUAUGCUUUUGAGUGAGCUCUAUGAUCCAAGUAGAGGUUAUCUUGUGAAUGAUACCGUCCUUCAGGAAGGUGCUAUUACCAUUCAUUUACAUUCUAGGUUUUCGGUGCUUUAUUGAAAGGAAGGGCUCAUGUUCUUUGGAACAUUAGCGUAUGCAGUACAUAAGUGAUGACAGAUUAAUGUUCAGGUUUAAAAUGUCAUCUUCGUCGUCAGUCAUGUUUGACGCGGCACUGGACCUGAACCUGGGGCUGCUGUCCGGGAUGGUGAUCUAGAGACACACUAAUCCAUCAGUUAAUUAGCACAACAGAGCAUGGAGAGCUGCCACUCUUUGCCCUUUUGGUGGCAUAGAUAUGUUCCCUUCCCUGGAUGCAUUGCUCAAGAAUGGGAAGUCCAAAACUAUACAAGCCAUUGAAUUGGAAGGUGGUGUUGGACAGCAGUGGCGUCUUUGGAAGUGGGCGUCAUACUGUGCUUCAGAGAAAAUAUAUGAACAAAAUGGUGGUCGUUAUGAGAUGGUUGUAUAUGCUUUACAGUGCAGUAACUUAAAGCUCAUUUUGCCAGUCUGUACUGACUGGGAGGUAUGUUAAGAUUUAGGUUAUUUUACCGCUGGUGCAUGAUCCAUCUUUUUCAUUCCUUUUCUUAGUCAGCUUGUUGGGCACUGUCAAAAUCCUGGCUAGAUGAACAAGUGGAUCUAGAGUCAUCUCAAUACCAAACCAGUAGACCAGAGACGAAAAAUAGCUUGACGAUGAUAUGAAUGGAGCCCAAAGUUCAGUUGGUCCAGAAAGUUAGCCAUAUAUGCUCUUGAUCAGCAACCUCGUGAUAUUACUGCACUCCUGCAGAAACUCCAUUCAUGGUAUUAAAAUUAUUUAUACUUCCUCCAUUAUCUACCUGCUUAUAUUAUUGGUCUCAUGCAAUGCAGUGACCUUGUUCAUGAAAAUGUGUCUUGAGCAUGCUGGGAGCAGCUUCGACAAGUUGAGGAAUUCAAUCAUGGAAGUUGUCACGGAGAAUAUCUGCAAAGAGGUGCUGGAGAGGAGUUGGAGCAAGAAAAGAUAAGGCAACUCUCCAUGAUCGUGGGCUUGUGGUGCAAUCAAGAUCAUGCAGUUCAUUGCUUCAAUCUUUAUCAUUUCUGUUAAGAUGCAUUGCCGACGCGAUUUCAUAUGUCAGAACAAUCAAUGGGUCCCUUCACUCUUCAUAUGUAAUGGGUUGAAUUUGUGUAGUAAUUGACAUUCAGAGGUAGCCUUAAGAUUUCUGGUGAUUAUGGCAUAUGCUAGGUGCCAAAUAAUAUGCAUGUGUUAGUGAGAAAGAUGAGGAGAUCAACUGAUCAAAGAUGUGCAAGACAAUCUCAUGAGCAGGCAUGUACCUUUGU